ACCAUCACUUACCUGAGAAGCAGAGAUGCUUGUUUUGACUUCUGUUAUUUCCUGGGUGAGAUACAGUUUAAGAAAGAAUUGAAGAAAAGAAGAAACUCACAUUCAGUUAUUUCCAAUUCUUUGUGACUCCUUUUGGGGUUUUCCUGGCAAAGAUAUUGGAAGGAUCUGGCAUUUCCUUCUCCAGGUCAUCUUUUACAGCUGAGGAAAUUAAGGUAAGUAAGGUUA
rnacentral:lncRNA from 1 species